UUCAGGAUGAACGCUAGCUACAGGCUUAACACAUGCAAGUCGAGGGGCAGCAUGGUCUUAGCUUGCUAAGGCCGAUGGCGACCGGCGCACGGGUGAGUAACACGUAUCCAACCUGCCGUCUACUCUUGGACAGCCUUCUGAAAGGAAGAUUAAUACAAGAUGGCAUCAUGAGUCCGCAUGUUCACAUGAUUAAAGGUAUUCCGGUAGACGAUGGGGAUGCGUUCCAUUAGAUAGUAGGCGGGGUAACGGCCCACCUAGUCUUCGAUGGAUAGGGGUUCUGAGAGGAAGGUCCCCCACAUUGGAACUGAGACACGGUCCAAACUCCUACGGGAGGCAGCAGUGAGGAAUAUUGGUCAAUGGGCGAGAGCCUGAACCAGCCAAGUAGCGUGAAGGAUGACUGCCCUAUGGGUUGUAAACUUCUUUUAUAAAGGAAUAAAGUCGGGUAUGCAUACCCGUUUGCAUGUACUUUAUGAAUAAGGAUCGGCUAACUCCGUGCCAGCAGCCGCGGUAAUACGGAGGAUCCGAGCGUUAUCCGGAUUUAUUGGGUUUAAAGGGAGCGUAGAUGGAUGUUUAAGUCAGUUGUGAAAGUUUGCGGCUCAACCGUAAAAUUGCAGUUGAUACUGGAUAUCUUGAGUGCAGUUGAGGCAGGCGGAAUUCGUGGUGUAGCGGUGAAAUGCUUAGAUAUCACGAAGAACUCCGAUUGCGAAGGCAGCCUGCUAAGCUGCAACUGACAUUGAGGCUCGAAAGUGUGGGUAUCAAACAGGAUUAGAUACCCUGGUAGUCCACACGGUAAACGAUGAAUACUCGCUGUUUGCGAUAUACAGCAAGCGGCCAAGCGAAAGCGUUAAGUAUUCCACCUGGGGAGUACGCCGGCAACGGUGAAACUCAAAGGAAUUGACGGGGGCCCGCACAAGCGGAGGAACAUGUGGUUUAAUUCGAUGAUACGCGAGGAACCUUACCCGGGCUUAAAUUGCAGAUGAAUUACGGUGAAAGCCGUAAGCCGCAAGGCAUCUGUGAAGGUGCUGCAUGGUUGUCGUCAGCUCGUGCCGUGAGGUGUCGGCUUAAGUGCCAUAACGAGCGCAACCCUUGUUGUCAGUUACUAACAGGUUCCGCUGAGGACUCUGACAAGACUGCCAUCGUAAGAUGUGAGGAAGGUGGGGAUGACGUCAAAUCAGCACGGCCCUUACGUCCGGGGCUACACACGUGUUACAAUGGGGGGGUACAGAGGGCCGCUACCACGCGAGUGGAUGCCAAUCCCAAAAACCUCUCUCAGUUCGGACUGGAGUCUGCAACCCGACUCCACGAAGCUGGAUUCGCUAGUAAUCGCGCAUCAGCCACGGCGCGGUGAAUACGUUCCCGGGCCUUGUACACACCGCCCGUCAAGCCAUGGGAGCCGGGGGUACCUGAAGUGCGUAACCGCGAGGAGCGCCCUAGGGUAAAACU
rnacentral:rRNA from 1 species